UUAUACCUAUUCGAAGGGAUAGGGUCGGUUCGGCCGGAUUUCACACAGGUGUUGCAUGGCUGUCGUCAGCUCGUGUCGUGAGAUGUUGGGUUAAGUCCCGCAACGAGCGCAACCCUCAUCCUUAGUUACCAUCAGGUAAUGCUGGGGACUUUAAGGAAACUGCCAGUGAUAAACUGGAGGAAGGUGGGGAUGAUGUCAAGUCAUCAUGGCCCUUAUGGAGUGGGCUACACACGUGCUACAAUGGUGGCUACAAUGGGCUGCAAAGUCGCGAGGCUAAGCUAAUCCCUUAAAAGCCAUCUCAGUUCGGAUUGUACUCUGCAACUCGAGUGCAUGAAGUUGGAAUCGCUAGUAAUCGUGGAUCAGCACGCCACGGUGAAUACGUUCUCGGGUCUUGUACACACUGCCCGUCACGCCAUGGGAAUUGGUUUCACUCGAAGC
rnacentral:rRNA from 1 species